rnacentral:tRNA from 6 species
GCGUUAAUGGUGUAGCGGUAACAUUCAACCCUUCCAAGGUUGAGCUCUGGGUUCGACUCCCAGUUAACGCA